rnacentral:misc_RNA from 1 species
CCUCCACAAGAGCAGGAAAUCUGCCUCUGUUAUGAGGUGAUAGAUAUGGAUACACAGGACAGGAGACGAAUCCAAAAGCUGAACUGAAAAGGCAUAUAAGGCAUAUAAAAACACACACACAAUGCAUCAAACAUCCCAAAUGGGUUUCUCCAUCGCUGAUUCCCCAAGUGAGAGCUGUUGCUGAAAGUGAUUCAUCAUUGGCAUUCUCUGAUGCUGGCUCAUUGCUUCCAUUUCCAGUCUCUGCUGCUGCUGUUGCUGAUGAUCAUGCAAAUUUCCUGUCCUUGAACCUCCAAUCCCCAUAAAAUCACGAGUCAUCCUGUCACCACCUUCACCACUACUCCCAGCGAACCUUGAUGGUCCACUCGAGGUCCGCUCCAUCCCUGAUCUUCCAUGUAUCAAGCUAGAACUACCACUAUCUUCUUGUUCCACAAUUUUUUGAAACUACUAUAGGUAGUUCAGGCAUGAACGAUAUGGGAAUGUUCAGUACUAUGU